rnacentral:lncRNA from 1 species
AUGUGUCAGAACACAUUGUGUUCAGAUUAUCUUUUCUCACUAAAAAUAAUUGCUGUUUUGUUUUGCUUUUAUAGAGUUCAACCUCUUACAACAUCCAGGCUUGUAACCAGCUGGGUCAGUCUUCAAGCUCACAGAGUGGCAGUUCCUUUGGUGCACAGAGUGGAAAAUUUUCAUCAAACAGCAAUUCUAUAUACAGUCAGGGUUCAAGAACUCAAGGUGGUUCAUCAGAAACUAUCCGGAUUACUGUCCAGGGUCAGCCUUCAGGUUCACAGGGUGGCAGCACUUAUGGCAUACAGGGCCAGUCUUCAGGCUCACAGAGUAGCAGCUCCUAUGGCACACAGGGUGGAUCCUAUUCAAGUGGAGGCAGUCCCUGUGGCCAGGGAACAACAUAUGACAGCAAUCCCUGCCAUCAGAACCAAGCCUCAUCCUCCUCUUCUUCCUCUUCAUAUUCUUCCUCUUCUUACGGCAACCAGGGACAAGCAUCUUCCUACGGCAACCAAGGUAGUUUACAAUAUCAAGGCAACAGCAAUGGUUGUAAUUCGGGAUCUUCUUCACAAAGCAAUUACAACAACCAGGAUCAAUCAUCUCCCUAUGGCAAUCAGGGUGCUUCUUCUUACAACCACAACAGGUGUUGAGUGA